UUUCACCUGGAUUCACCUUCUCAGUCUAUGUCAUGGACAGAGCAGGUGUUCCUAAUGUUUUUUACACUCAGUCCAUUUUACAUACAUGGUAGGCUACUUUUAUACACAGUAUAAAAUAUACACAUUACUUUCCUUGCAAAAAUGUAUUUGUUGCUGCAAAGUUCCCGCAAGUUUGUGACAAAAUGUUGCCAGAAGUUGUUUGCCACUAGUGGUGAAUUUGCAGCAAACCUUUGGCAACAACAAUAUUUAUUACGACUAGUGGCAAACAGUUCACCAAUUUGUUUCUGGAAAACAAUUCUCUCGAGAUUAUAUUUGAAUCUGUGCAAACCUGUGGCAACAAUAUGUACUGCCACUAGUGGCUCCCAGUUUACCAGAGGUUGUUUCUGGUGGGCACAUCAUUUCAAAGACCAGUAACUUUUGACGACCAGUCAAGGAGAUAAGAAAAAUCUGAUGGAAAUGGAAACCAAGAAAUCUACCUACCAAAGUUGUCCGAAGCAAUCAGUUAUCAGGCAAAGAGACAGAUUGAGGCCUUCAAUCAAACGGAGGACUGAGAAAUAUGCAUGCACCAGGUCAAGACUUCUUGCAUGCAUGGCCUUGAGAUGAAAGUUAUCAAUUAUUUGUUUAGGAAAAUAAUAUGGAUUUCCAUAUAGGCAUAACAAAAUGUUUAUGUUGCUCUUCUUCCACCCAAGCCUUAUACACCUGAGUCAGAAAGAAGUGACAACUAGUAGAAAAGUGGCUCUUGAUAAUGAUGUCCCCAGUCCAGAUUGAAGAUCUGAGUUUUAAUCCAUUGUAUUGAGGCUUGACUGGAGGAAAUAAUUUUUUGUGGCUCUCUAGAAACACACAUUUUGGAGGUAGGUGUAAUAAGUCCCAGUAUGCUAGCUACAUUGUUUGUUCAUAUAGCAUUUAUACAAGGCAGAUUGUUUCCUUUCUGAAAAAUAGAUAUAAUGCCAGUUUCAGUGGGAAGCGUAGCAACAUCCCACUGGGCAAAAACUGUUUGUAUCAACAUUGUUUCCACGUCAUUUCGACCCCCAAAAAUCUAUGUGAUGACUUUGAAUCAAUGUGGAAAACUAAUUGGAUUUGCAAAAAGUCAUCAAGUAAGGGAAUUUCACCUCUUUUUUUUUUUUUUUUUUUUACCCAAUCUUGAACCUAACUCCAAUAACACGUUCAUUUUUUUGGGGGGGGGGAUUUCACAUUGAAUAAACAUUUUGUUUACAACUCAUGCAAAUGUGAAUCAAAACUAGAUAUUGAACUGACGACUGUGCCCGUGGGGAUGCAGCCUAACCCCAUUUUUCUUAUCCUGCCCAUUAGCUGCUGAGUCAAAUUAAAAAAAAAAUGUUUUCAGUAGGCCUAUAUUAAUGUUGUUUUCUGAUUGUUUCAGUGCAUGCAUUCAGCAAGCGUUCGACAGGAUUUCUACAGGGCCGCCAGGUAGGCUAGCAGUUAAGAGCAUUUGGCCAGUAACCAAAAUGUCGCUGGUUCAAAUCCCGAGCUGAGUAAGUGAAAGAUGUGAGCAAUGUGCUUAACCCUAAUGGUUCCUGUAAAUUGAUCUGGAUUAGUGCAUCUGCUAAAUGACAAAAAAUUGAAGUAAAGUUCAGUCAGAGGCUAUACUUCUUGAAUGCUCAUGUAAAUUCUGAAGUUGCCCCUUGAGAACUCCUGGAUAUUUCUCUCAUGUAAAUGUUGUAGUUUUUGCUCUUUUCUUCAUUAACACUGCAUUAUGUUUUUAUUGUGAGAUAGUUAAGAACGUUGUAUUGGAUUUUAUGUGUUUAGACAUUGAAUACAUUUUGUUUAGUUGUUUAGUUCUCUGUGAGAAGCAAGUACAUUUAAAGUUAUUUGUGAUUUGGUUGAUGUCUAAAACAUUUUGAUGUUGUUUAAUACACUAAAUAACCAAUUUGCAUAUUCAUAAUGAUUUUGCAGCAAACAGUAGAAUGUUCGCCACAAGUUUCUCAGAGUAGUUUGCCAGAAGAUCACAAGUCGGCCCAAAUGUGCGCAACAGAAUUAAUUUGCAUGUGAAAAUAUAAGCUUGCUGCAAAUAGGCCAAAGAUUUGCCACAACUCUUUGCCAGAAGCCUGUUUUUUUGGUAAUGGCUAGUUCUCUGGACUUUUACUUUGAUGAAGUAGGCUAGGAUAGGAUAGAAAAUAGGUAUAUGAUCUGAGUCAUUAAAUGUCAGGGAGAUGAUCACUUUUAAAGGGGAACUGCACCUGCUGAUUUGGCCUCGUUUUUUGGCUUGUUCCUCAAGAAAUGUUGCAAAUAAUAAUUCAGAGACGUCAAAAUCUCCAUCACAUCAUCUUGCAAGUCUCCAAGUGCUGGUUCUGUUAGAUGCAUCCGUGAACUGCCAAUGGCAGGUGAUAGGUGAUAUCUAUGUUGAAGUUUGAACAGGUUCUCCCCAUCGAUGACUGUUGGUGAGCCAAUGCUCACCAACAGUCAUCGAUGGGGAGAACCCAUAGCAAUGUAGAUCAGCUUGGUCGCAAUGAUCAGCUAUGUUGAAUCUGGGUGCAGACACAAACGCAGAGCAUUAUCAAUGGCCUGUUCAGGGGCAGAACGACAGAUUUGUACCUUGUCAGCUCGGGGGUUUGAACUUGCAACCUUCCGGUUACUAGUCCAACGCUCUAACCACUAGGCUACCCUGCCACACCAGAUUAUCAAUGGUGGUUAUGAUUAGCCUGGUGAAACCAACCUGAUCACUACAUUCACCUUUCUAUUUCACUUCAGAUAUCAUAAAGUGUAAUAGAAUGGGGAACACAGCGAUUAGGCUGGGUCCACCAGGCUAGGUUAUACUCUGGACAUUAUUAUAUGCAUAUAAUAAAUGGAAGAUAAACAACAAAUUCAUGUCAGUUUACAUAAAUUAUGUUUCACAAUUGGUUUAUCAAAUAUAUAAAAGUAAUGAAGUGG